GUCGAGCGAUGAAGUUUCUUCGGAAAUGGAUUAGCGGCGAACGGGUGAGGAACACGUGAAGAAUCUGCCCUCCACUUUGGGAUAACACCGGGAAACCGGUGCUAAUACCGAAUAUUGAAACAUAAGUGGCAUCACUGAGUUUUGAAAGAAUUUCGGUGGAGGAUGACUUCGCGGCCUAUCAGCUAGUUGGUGAGGUAAUGGCUCACCAAGGCAACGACGGGUAGCCGGCCUGAGAGGGCGACCGGCCACACUGGGACUGAGACACGGCCCAGACUCCUACGGGAGGCAGCAGUGGGGAAUAUUGGGCAAUGGAGGAAACUCUGACCCAGCGACGCCGCGUGCGGGAUGAAGGCCUUCGGGUUGUAAACCGCUUUCAGUAGGGAAGAAGCGAAAGUGACGGUACCUACAAAAGAAGCACCGGCUAACUAUGUGCCAGCAGCCGCGGUAAUACAUAGGGUGCAAGCGUUGUCCGGAAUUAUUGGGCGUAAAGAGCUCGUAGGUCGUUUGUUACGUCGGAUGUGAAAACCUGAGGCUCAACCUCAGGCCUGCAUUCGAUACGGGCAAACUAGAGUUUGGUAGGGGAGACUGGAAUUCCUGGUGUAGCGGUGGAAUGCGCAGAUAUCAGGAGGAACACCAAUGGCGAAGGCAGGUCUCUGGGCCAAUACUGACACUGAGGAGCGAAAGUCUGGGGAGCGAACAGGAUUAGAUACCCUGGUAGUCCAGACCGUAAACGGUGGGCACUAGUUGUGG
rnacentral:rRNA from 1 species